GAUGAACGCUGGCGGCGUGCUUAACACAUGCCAGUCGAACGGAAAGGCCCAAGCUUGCUUGGGUACUCGAGUGGCGAACGGGUGAGUAACACGUGGGUGAUCUGCCCUGCACUUCGGGAUAAGCCUGGGAAACUGGGUCUAAUACCGGAUAGGACGAUGGUUUGGAUGCCAUUGUGGAAAGUUUUUUCGGUGUGGGAUGAGCUCGCGGCCUAUCAGCUUGUUGGUGGGGUAAUGGCCUACCAAGGCGUCGACGGGUAGCCGGCCUGAGAGGGUGUACGGCCACAUUGGGACUGAGAUACGGCCCAGACUCCUACGGGAGGCAGCAGUGGGGAAUAUUGCACAAUGGGCGCAAGCCUGAUGCAGCGACGCCGCGUGGGGGAUGACGGCCUUCGGGUUGUAAACUCCUUUCGCUAGGGACGAAGCGUUUUUGUGACGGUACCUGGAGAAGAAGCACCGGCUAACCACGUG
rnacentral:rRNA from 1 species